AUUGAACGCUGGCGGCAGGCCUAACACAUGCAAGUCGAGCGGAUGAAGGGAGCUUGCUCCUGGAUUCAGCGGCGGACGGGUGAGUAAUGCCUAGGAAUCUGCCUGGUAGUGGGGGAUAACGUCCGGAAACGGGCGCUAAUACCGCAUACGUCCUGAGGGAGAAAGUGGGGGAUCUUCGGACCUCACGCUAUCAGAUGAGCCUAGGUCGGAUUAGCUAGUUGGUGGGGUAAAGGCCUACCAAGGCGACGAUCCGUAACUGGUCUGAGAGGAUGGUCAGUCACACUGGAACUGAGACACGGUCCAGACUCCUACGGGAGGCAGCAGUGGGGAAUAUUGGACAAUGGGCGAAAGCCUGAUCCAGCCAUGCCGCGUGUGUGAAGAAGGUCUUCGGAUUGUAAAGCACUUUAAGUUGGGAGGAAGGGCAGUAAGUUAAUACCUUGCUGUUUUGACGUUACCAACAGAAUAAGCACCGACUAACUUCGUG
rnacentral:rRNA from 1 species